rnacentral:rRNA from 1 species
ACGGGGGAUGCAAGCGUUAUCCGGAUUUAUUGGGUUUAAAGGGUGCGUAGGCGGUUUGAUAAGUCAGCGGUGAAAUAUUUCAGCUUAACUGAAAGGGGGCAGUUGAUACUGUCAGACUUGAAUAGGGUUGCUGUUGGUGGAAUGUGUGGAGUAGCGGUAAAAUGCUUAGAUAUGACACGGAAUAUCGAUUGCGAAGGCUGCACACAAAGCCAUUAUUGACGCUGAUGCAGCAAAGUGUGGUGAUCUUACAG